GCCGUGUGGCUUGGUGGUGAAGUGCUUGCACUGCCACUCAAACGGUCAGGAGUUCGAGCCCCCUGAGGGGCA
rnacentral:tRNA from 1 species